rnacentral:lncRNA from 13 species
CCUGUGGUUUGGUUGAUUUGUACUCUUCCCCGUUCAUUGUCUUUUUACUGUGCGGAGUCAGAGGACGAACUGCACACACUCGUCAAGAGAACAUGGUUAGAACACAACAACCUUUUGGUUGAAGGCAUCUCUAUACUCUGGUUUCCAGUUGCUUUUUUGGUUCUUCGUCUGGAUGCUGUCUGGAUAGGGUUUCAUAUAUAUAUUGAAGGAUCAGAAGGUAAGCCAUGUUCUACCCUGCAGCCCUGUGUGAGUGCCUCAGAGGCAUCCUCCUUGUCCUCGUCCCUGUCCCCAGCCUCCGUCGCUAAGGACGUCUUCUUCAACAUCGCCACUGAGGAAAAGGAUGAUGAAAGUGACUAUGAGAACCCAAGCCUGGAUGAGGAUGUAGACAGCAGUGUGGAGGAUCUGCUGGGUUUAAGCUGUUCCUUCAUAGACUCAAACUAUUACAAAGACCAUCAAGGGGUACACUCCGUAUCGGCUGCCCCAGAAACCAGCCCUUCUACCCUGGGCUUUCCCGGUAGAUAUAGCGACAGUCCCCAGCACAGCUCCCAGCUCCAUCCCAAUCCACAUCCCUAUCCACAUCCCUAUCCAUAUCCCUAUCAAGAGACUGAAAACAAAUCCAUACCCCAUCACACUAUUGUGGUCACCCAGUUCAACCCUAACCUGUUGCAGUCAGGCAGUGCCAUGGACGGCUAUAACAGUGAGUCGGUGGACCCUGUGGACCCUGUGGGUGUGGUGAGCACUAUGGUGAAUCUGAAUGGACCAGGAGGACAAGGAGACAUGAUGGAUUCUGACAGAGAGAGCUUCCCUAUCCUGAUCAGGUCCAUGUCUACAUCACGCAGACACAGCUUGGGCAUGCCCAUGUCUCCCAUCGACUUGGGGAGGAGGCUGAGCCUGGACGCCAUAGACAGCGAUGGAGAGAGGGAUGACUCUCUCCUCCGCUCCUCCCACCUACAGGCGUUUAUAUACCCAGGAUGCCCUGAGCAGGAAGUGGAGGAGUCCGAUGGGACAGACCUCUCCAGAUCUGAAGCCAAGGAGACAGAAACGGUAUUGAUGCCACACCACGGCCAUACCUGGCGUGUUUUGAACAUUGCACUCAGCUUGGAGGGCAUAAACACAUGUUUAAAAAAAAUAUGAAGAUAACUAGUAUAGGAUGCACUAAGUACUGUGAUUUCACUCUUCUCUACAACAAAAAAACUCAACAAAAGAAACAAAGUAAUAAUAUGUUUUCAAUCAACCAACUUGGUAAAAUAAAGGUCAAUAACAUAUAAAUAAAUACAUUAUGUCUGACAUCCUUGUAGGAGGAGUACAGUCGGUCUGGAAGGACAUACUCCAGAACAGAGAUUCUGGCCACAGAUGAGCACAUUCACGUCGCACACGUGUCUCACGUAGUGGAGACAUCGAAGAGGGCAGCAGGAGGUCAGUGUGUAGAGUAAGCUGCCGUUGACCCCCCCCCCCACCCCUUCCUGUACCCCCAGAGGGCCACAGACCAACAUCCUGCUGUCAGAAUG